AAAUUUCGCAGAUGUGCUCCGGUGCCGUCCUUAGACGCGCAUGCUGUUGUCGUCCGUCUGGGCAAACAAUAUCGAUCGCGUAUAUUCGCGAACCCCAAGAUCCCCGAAUAAUAAUAACCCCCCCCCCCCUCCCAACUCCCGAUCUCCUCUCGCUUUCUCUCAGCCGUAUUGUACGCGGCCGCUUCCUCCCGGACAGAAAGGAAGUUUCGAUCGAUUGUCGCGAACAACGCGUAGCCCGCGGUCGCUGAUGGUUCCCAUCACCUGACUACGUCCACGGACGUCGAGGUCGCGCAUCGUCGACAUGCACGUACGCACAUAAAUAAAAGCGCUCCGACCCGACUGUCGUUCACAUUCCUGCGUCCAGUGUAGAUUAACUCUUCCAAUCUCUCGGUUUAAUUUUAUUAAUUAAACCGAGUAAUUAAUAGUCUACGUUUCGACAUACGCUGGAGUUCAUGUUUUCAUAGUAAACUGCAGAGCUGUAGUAUUUAUCAAAAGGGAGAUAAAGAGCAAAUUGAACCGAGAUUAAAGUUAAUUUGCGUCGACAGAAACUGCAGGAGAUUGCAUUUUGCGACUUGCAGUUCAGCUUACGUGAACACGUCGCGACAUAAUCUUAUUGUUAGACGAAAAUAAAAAGAUCUUGGAAUGACUUCGACGAAACCUAAUCGUUAAUUAAUUCAUCAAGCAACCGCAUAAUCCCACAAUAAAAUAUAUUAUCGGCUUGCACGGAACUACCGGAAGGUUCUUGCUAUUUCUGCUAUGCUUGAAUAUGUAAAGGCGGAUUUAAAGAGAUAUAAACGAUAACAAAUACCGUUGCGGCCCUGAUAGGAAUAUUUUUGAUCAUUUUAUUAACUGAAAGCCUCUUUUAUUUGAUCCAUUUGAUUAGAAUUUAUAAAAUUAAUUUUUUUUAGAUAAUAAUAAAGUAAAUUUUAUUUUUAAUUUGUAAUGAAUUUAAUGAAUGUAUCUUAACGCCUCUUAAUGAAUCUUAAUUUUAAUAAAAAGUGGUUAACUGGGAAACAAUUUUCAAUUAUAUAUUUCCAUCAGGGGAGCGUUUUUGUGCAUGUUAAAUUAAUCUGGAGGUUUCGUCGAAGUCACCUUUGAACCCGUCAAUCACCUGUUCCUCUCUCUCAGUAACCGAAACGUUGACGAUAUGCUGCGAACUCAUCAGAGGAUUCGCACAGAAUGCCGCAACAGAAUUUCGGCGUCAGUUGUGCCCACAUUAAGCUUACGUUCUGCCAGAUGAUCUCUGCAAACGCGAGCAGAAAUUGGACGCAAUCCGUUAUUUCGUAAUAUACCAUUUAAAUGGCAAAGUUCUGCAAUCCAUUCGAUAUCUGUUAACAGAUUCUGUACUUUUACCGUUUUCGCUGGCAGUCUGCCGUAGAUAAUGCGUGUCUUGAAAAGUCCGCUCACAGAUUUUGUCGUUUAGAUCUGAACCAGAACGUCGUAAAUUUCAAGAUUACGUCUACGUAAUCGUUUACAUAUUUUUCAUGUAGACAGUACAAACUAUAUAUGUAAAUUUUAUUAUAAAUUGUAUAUACAAUUUAUAAUAAUUUACAUAUAUAAAUAACUUUACAUAUGUAUAAUUUAGAUAUAUAAAAAUAACAUUAAAAAAGGAGUAAUUUGUAAAAUUGUUAAUACAUCUAAUUUUAGUAUUGAUGAAAAAAAAAUAAAAAAUAGGUUAUAAUGUUUACUAUGAUCAGAAUCUUUGAUCUAUUGAUUAUUCUUUACAUAUUAUAUAACACGUAAAAUAUAGUUUACAAUUUAUAUUUUUGUAUACGCGUAAUAUAAAUUAUAUUUAUUGUUUAUUCAUUAUUAUUUAUUAUAUUUUAUAUUUAACGUGUAAAUACCUAAACUUAGCAAUUUUAAAACGUAAUAUUUAUACACACACGCAUACAUAUCGCUCAAUCGCUACAUAACUCAAAAAACAAUUUUUUUUUUAUUUUACAUGUUAUAAAUAUCAUUAAACUUGUAAUAUAAAUUUUCAAUGCAAUUUUGAUAUAGCAAUUUGAUUUACUGUUAUUAUAGAGGAAUAAAAAUAUCAUUAGCUCUUUACUCUUCUCUUGAUGUAUUCAAUUCUCGAUAGAAAUCUUUUUUUGCAGAUAACUCAAAAAUAUAAUUUUGAGUUUUUGUUAUUGUGGCGAAUAAAUUAUAAGUAUGUUAAAUAUACAUUGGUCGUUCUUUCUUUAUGUUUUUCAUCAAUUACACUGAUGUUCUUGAUUUCUAAACUAACGGUUUUGCAAAAUUGAUACUUUAUGUCUUUAUCUUUCUCCUUUUUCUCUUCUAUGAUUCGAGUAAUAAAAGAAAAUUGAAACACAAACCAACAUACUCGGCCUCAGAGAUUUUUCUUUUUUUUUUAAAUAUUAUUUUGUAUGUUUCUAGGACAUUUCGUCUCGUCCGACAGAAACGUGUCAUUUGUCAAACGUGAGCUGCGACAGCUGACAUCAUGACCAGUGCCGAUUAUAGCGGCUAUAUUUUACCUAUCUAACUACGUAUACAUAUAUGUUAUCUUGAGAACAUUCAAUACCGCUCGCUACAACUCACGUUAUAGUACCGUUUUUGCACCGGCUUUAAUGAUGGAUUACGUGGCGAUAAUUAAUUACAUUAAAACACUGAUCGAAA